rnacentral:rRNA from 1 species
GACGAACGCUGGCGGCGUGCUUAACACAUGCAAGUCGAACGAAAAGAGGGAAAGAGCUUGCUCUUUCCGGAAUUGAGUGGCAAACGGGUGAGUAACACGUAAACAACCUGCCUUCAGGAUGGGGACAACAGACGGAAACGACUGCUAAUACCGAAUAAGUUCCAAGGGCCGCAUGGCCCAUGGAAGAAAAGGUGGCCUCUACCUGUAAGCUAUCGCCCGAAGAGGGGUUUGCGUCUGAUUAGCUGGUUGGAGGGGUAACGGCCCACCAAGGCGACGAUCAGUAGCCGGUCUGAGAGGAUGAACGGCCACACUGGAACUGAGACACGGUCCAGACUCCUACGGGAGGCAGCAGUGGGGAAUCUUCCGCAAUGGGCGAAAGCCUGACGGAGCAACGCCGCGUGAGUGAUGACGGCCUUCGGGUUGUAAAACUCUGUGAUCCGGGACGAAAAGGCAGAGUGCGAAGAACAAACUGCAUUGACGGUACCGGAAAAGCAAGCCACGGCUAACUACGUG